rnacentral:rRNA from 1 species
GACGAACGCUGGCGGCGUGCCUAAUACAUGCAAGUCGAGCGAAGUUUUUCUGGUGCUUGCACUAGAAAAACUUAGCGGCGAACGGGUGAGUAACACGUAAAGAACCUGCCUCAUAGACUGGGACAACUAUUGGAAACGAUAGCUAAUACCGGAUAACAGUAUUUCUCGCAUGAGAGAUAUUUAAAAGUUGGUUAUGCUAACACUAUGAGAUGGCCUUGCGGUGCAUUAGCUAGUUGGUGGGGUAAAGGCCCACCAAGGCGACGAUGCAUAGCCGACCUGAGAGGGUGAUCGGCCACACUGGGACUGAGACACGGCCCAGACUCCUACGGGGGGCAGCAGUAGGGAAUCUUCCGCAAUGGGCGAAAGCCUGACGGAGCAACGCCGCGUGAGUGAAGAAGGAUUUCGGUUCGUAAAGCUCUGUUGUUAGGGAAGAAUGGAUAUGUAGUAACUAUACAUGUAAGAGACGGUACCUAACCAGAAAGCCACGGCUAACUACGUG